AGAUCUACCUUUUGGCCUAUCUUAGCUUUCAACAUGCCUUGCUUGCUAAGCUUAGUCAUUUCUGGCCCUUGAUUUCAAGUGAGAGACAUGCAACUAUUCCCUUUCACUUGAACACUUGGAGGCUAUUGUAGGGUUCUUCAUUGGCCUAAUUUCAGUAUUGUGGUUUUUAUUCAUAAACACAUACACACAUAUCUAUUAAUUUAGGUCAUCUUUAAUUUUCUUAGAUUUUAAUAGUUCUCAGGUUACAGAUCUUGCACAUAUUUUGUUAAAUUUAUCCCUGAAUAUUUAAUAUUUUUUGGAUGAUUUUACUCUUUUUAGUUUCCAGUUAUUUCUUGUAUGUGGAAAUAAGAUUGAUUUUUGUAUGCUGAUCUCUUAUGCUGCAACCUUACACAACUCGUUUAUUAGUUCUG
rnacentral:lncRNA from 1 species